rnacentral:rRNA from 1 species
CAGGUGGAGCCUGCGGUUUAAUCGGACUCAACGCCGGGAAACUCACCAGAUAAGACAGCUGAAUGAUAGUCGGGCUGAAGACUCUGCUUGACUAGCUGAGAGGAGGUGCAUGGCCGUCGUCAGUUCGUACUGUGAAGCAUCCUGUUAAGUCAGGCAACGAGCGAGACCCACGCCAACAGUUGCCAGCAUGUCCUCCGGGAUGAUGGGGACACUGUUGGGACCGCUCUGCUAAAGAGGAGGAAGGAAUGGGCAACGGUAGGUCAGCAUGCCCCGAAUUAUCCGGGCUACACGCGGGCUACAAUGGUCAGGACAAUGGGUAUCGACACCGAGAGGUGGAGGCAAUCUCCUAAACCUGUCCUUAGUUCGGAUUGUGGGCUGCAACUCGCCCACAUGAAGCUGGAAUCCGUAGUAAUCGCGUUUCAAAUAGCGCGGUGAAUAUGUCCCUGCUCCUU